rnacentral:scRNA from 1 species
GUGCGCUCGCCCUCGGGUUCGGCUUUGGCACG